rnacentral:rRNA from 1 species
ACUCCUGCGGGAGGCAGCAGUGGGGAAUAUUGGACAAUGGGCGCAAGCCUGAUCCAGCCAUGCCGCGUGAGUGAUGAAGGCCCUAGGGUUGUAAAGCUCUUUCACCGGUGAAGAUAAUGACGGUAACCGGAGAAGAAGCCCCGGCUAACUUCGUGCCAGCAGCCGCGGUAAUACGAAGGGGGCUAGCGUUGUUCGGAUUUACUGGGCGUAAAGCGCACGUAGGCGGACUAUUAAGUCAGGGGUGAAAUCCCGGGGCUCAACCCCGGAACUGCCUUUGAUACUGGUAGUCUUGAGUUCGAGAGAGGUGAGUGGAAUUCCGAGUGUAGAGGUGAAAUUCGUAGAUAUUCGGAGGAACACCAGUGGCGAAGGCGGCUCACUGGCUCGAUACUGACGCUGAGGUUCGAAAGCGUGGGGAACAAACAGGAUUAGAUACCCUUGUAGUCCCAU